AACAGAAAGGAGAAAUGUUGAGAAAGAAAAAAAAAAAGAAAGCAAAAGAAAACUAUGGGUAGAUAGCAAUCAUAUCACAAACCAAAGGAAUGACCCAAAUGGUUGUGAAUCGCAGCAGGAGAAUUAAUGAGACAGAAAAUUUCCCAAGGAAAAGAGCCAAGUAUAGAAAAAGGAAGAAAUAAACAUCAUAAAAGGAAAAAAAAAGAAAACCCAACACAGAGGAAAGGAAAUAAAACGACAGCCCAAGGGGAAGGCAAAAGAGGAAAACAAAGAAAAGACAAAUGAAAAAGCAAUGCCUUGCAUCAAAGCAAAUGUGUGCAGUUGUCUUUUUUCUUAUCGGGUAGUGGCUUUGCAUUUCUCGAACAGCGAAGCCAAACUGAAGGGAUAAUUUUGUUUAUGUACCCAAUUUGCAUAAUUGUGCAAUAUAAAUUACAAUGCUAAUUAAGGACAGCCCUUGGGCUUCUGGAACUGGGUCAAAGUGGCUCCCUGUGUGUAAGGAGGUUGGGGCAUUGGCUUUGUCCCCACUCCUACUGCAGGGGAGCCAAGCAAGAGAAAAGAACCUUUCUGACAGUGUGUGAAAUCUUGUCAGAAGUUGUUGUAGACCCAGAACUGUAUGUCUCACUCUCAAACUUGGCUUUGCAAGUAAUCUUCCCGUGAUUCUGGAAUGGCGUCCCUAAAAGCGAAAAUCCCUCCUAAACCUUCUCGCUUGUCUUUCUACAGCAUUUCCCAUUUAGUUAGAUACUUUUCAUUCAGAGAACUAGAUUAUGAAAUUGUGAACAAGCGAGCAUGAACCUGGCAUACAGUAUUUUCUCACAGGACUCCUGCCAAAUUGUCUGAAACCAGUAUAUCAUGUGCCCAGCUUUGGCCUUUGUGAGGCAGAGAGACAUUAGGCUCACUUCUGAGUUUCAGUUAAAUCCCUGUUCUUAAAGCUCACCAAACGUUAUAAAUUCAGUUUCAGAGUGUAUUCCCUGUACUAUUCCUAUGACAGGAGUAUACAUUAGAAGGUCUGGAGAAGAACUAGCUUGGGUCUUUCAAGGUAAGAGUGUCUCUGACUUCAUGUAGUGAAGACUGGUGUAACUACAGGAAAACAGUCUUGGGAAAGAACUCUCCCAGAAACACAUUCUGAAGGUUUGUAUACUCGAUGAUUGUUGAUCUCAAGCAAAGGCUAUAUGCAAAAUAGAAAGAAGCAGGUGUCAAUCACUGGGAAGGAUAAGAAUGUGUUGUGGAGGAGGCCUGAUAUCCCAUCUAAGUCUCCCCCUUUUUUAUGUUUUAAAAUGUGGACCCAUUCUUAUGGGUUUGAUUUCUACCUAAAUUUUCAAUUAAAAGCCUAAGUAAUCUAAUCGUUAAGCACUCUUGUAUAUACCUGUCUUCAACUUUAGCAUGCCAGACAUUUCUUUUGGUGGAGAUUACUAUAUGGAUAAUUAGAUAUGUACAAUGUCCUUUCUAUAUUUGUGUUAUUUUAUAUUCGUACUAGUGCCCUAGUAAGUAUUUUGUAACCAUUCCCAUGUCCACCUAUAUAAAGAAAGCAAUGUCUAUUACAAUUAAGAACAGUGUUAUUGGUGUUAGCCAGUGGAUUCUUUGAGAGGUGAUGAGGUCACAGACAAGAGUAGCAACCUCAUGAAUGGGAUUAGUGUUCAUAUGAAAGAGACCCAAUAGUACCUGAUUCUCCCUUCUUCCUGUGUAGUUAAAAUAAGAUGACUAUAAGUAAGGGAGUGGUGGCUAUCAAACAUUGUAUUACAGAGACCUUGAUCUUGGGCCACUCAGCUAACCAAAUAAUAAGCUGUUAUUUUCAGCUCAGCUUGUCUUUGGUAGUUAUUGAUAACAUCCUUAACAGUCUAUAUUGUAGGACAAGCUAUGAAAUUGGAAUUCUGCAUGAACUUUAGGUGACCUGCUCAGAGGAUUGGUACAACCUAGCCUUCUAGUUGCUCAAGACUAUGCAGCUGGCAUCUCAUGACACACCAGUAGGUCCAAGGUCUUGUGCUGUUACUCAUUCUGCCCCAGUGUUCAAGACAACACAAAAACGAGACUCCUGAUCUAGUCAUAUAUAUCUACUAGUUACACACACUGACGUAAGCAUGGCUACAGAAUACUUGUAGAGAAGAACUGGAUUACUAAGUGUGUCAGAGCAACUGC
rnacentral:lncRNA from 1 species